GAAGAGGAGGAGGAGGAGGAGGAGGAUGGCGAGGAAGAGGAAGAGGCAGAAGGAAGAAGUUUAGGAGGAGGAGGAGCGAGAAGACCGAAGCGAAGUUAGGGAUUCUAGUUUGCUGAGUGGAGCAUUCGACCUCUAGACUUCACGCCAGUACCACCCUCGCUACCUCUCCAGACUUCGCAGCCUAGGGUCCCUGCCUCUUAUCUCGUGAUACGUGUAGAGCAGUAACACCAGCGAGGAAGACUGAUUGGGGAGUUUGACCUACGUGAGAGCAGAGCAGAGCAGAGGUUGAUCUGUGUUGCUGCCAUUGGGUGACUGGAGGACGAAACCAGUUUCCUGCCCGACAAUCCCCAUCCUGCUGUAGGAAACACUCCCGUGUUGCACCGGGAGAGUAGAUGCCAUCUUGUGCCUCGCUUGGCCAUCUAGGGAGAACCGUCUGGCACCACCUCUGUGCGCUGUCCGGCCGACUGCUGCUGCUGCUGCUGGUACUGCUACUACUACUGCUACUGCUACUACUGCUACUGCUACUACUACUGCUGCCGCUGCCAUCCAGGGAAGGACUCUCUGCCUGGCACCGCGCCUGUGUACUGCCCGGCCAACACCUGCUAUUGCCGCCAUCCAGAGAGGGACUCUACCUGGCACCGCACCUGUACACUGCCCGGCCGACACCUGCUGAUGCAGCUGCUGCUGUUGCCGCCAUCCAUCGAGGGACUGCCUGGCACUGCACUUGUACAUUGCCCGGCCGAUUGCUUCUGCUGCCGCCGCCAUCCAUUAAAGGACUCGGCCUUGCAGCGCAGAUCCACUGCCCAGCCAAUAUAUUUCUGCUUUGCCUUGUCUAUCUUAUUUCAUUGUCCUGUAUUUGUUGUAUAGGUGCUGCUAUGAUGACUUGAAUAUUCAAGUGCUGCUGUGGUGCCACUACUGAAUGAACAAAUUACGAAAUGUGUUGAUUUUGGUAAAUUUACCUUUCUAAGGAAAAGGAGUCCUUACCUCAAGCUGACUUAGGACUGAUACAGCGUUAUUUAUUAUCUCCAGAAUCUACAUUUUAGCCUAAAGAAAAACACAUUCCAAGAGAUGAGAAUAAAAUACACUAAUUGAUUUUGAAAA